rnacentral:rRNA from 1 species
CCAUCCUUCAAAGAGUGCGUAACAGCUCACUAGUCGAGUGACCCUGCGCCGAAAAUGUACCGGGGCUAAGCAUACUACCGAAGCUGCGGAUUUGCAGUAAUGCAAGUGGUAGGGGAGCGUUGCAUGCACGUAGAAGCYGUACCGUAAGGAGCAGUGGAGAGCAUGGAAGAGAGAAUGCCGGUGUGAGUAGCGAGAUGUAGGUGAGAAUCCUACACACCGAUAGCCCAAGGAUUCCAGGGGAAGGUUCGUCCGCCCUGGGUAAGUCGGGACCUAACGCGAGGCCGAAAGGCGUAGUGGAUGGAAAACAGGCAGAUAUUCCUGUACCCGCGAUGGAAAUGAAGGAAUGACGGAGAAGGCUAGUGUGAGCCACUUAGUGGAUUGUGGUCGAAGCAUAUAGCAGGCUGACAGUGAAAUGCGUCAGCGGGAUGUAAGAUGUGAUAGGUAAGGGAACGYCCUCGGRCAAGUACUGAAGCACAUGAUGCCAGCUUCCAAGAAAAGUUUCUAGUAWURAUUCCAUAGCGGCCCGUACCAAAACCGACACAGGUGGGCAAGGAGAGAAUCCUGAGGUGAGCGAGAGAACUGUUGCCAAGGAACUCGGCAAAAUGACUCCGUAAGUUAGCGAUAAGGAGUGCUCUUGUAAAAGAGAGCCGCAGUGAAGAGGCCCAAGCGACUGUUUAACUAAAACACAGCUCUCUGCAAAGUCGCAAGACGAAGUAUAGGGGGUGACGCCUGCCCGGUGCUGGAAGGUUAAGAGGAUUUGUCAUCCGCAAGGAGAAGCAAUGAAUUGAAGCCCCAGUGAACGGCGGCC